AGUGCUACCAGAGGAAGCUAAACCAGUUAAACUACGCCAUUUUGCCUCUUAGUGGGCAUGCUUGAGUCCACUCACCCAACUCCUGAUAUCUUAUUCUCUGUGACUUUGGUGGGAUCUGUCUCCCCACUCUUUGCCUGUCCUGCUCUGACCAUCCCAUCUGACCCAGGUAUGAACACAGAGUCCAUCCACGCAGUCCUCCCCAAGAGGAACUUGGAGGAAGUAGGGGCCAUGGUAAGAAAUUACAGAUGUCUGUGGGGCAAAUAAAAUACUGUUUGCACAAAGGCAAUUGCUUUGGCCAAUCAAGUGCGAAGUCCUAACUUUGUAGAUGUUUCCUAAUGUGAGAAGACUGCGAAGAAUUGCUCAAAAGAGCAACAAAAAACAUCUAAACUUUAAAACAUCAACUACUGCUAUGAACCAGAAUCUAUCCAUAUGUCCGGAAAUUUAAAUAUAGCCAAGAGGACGCUCUCUGUGUCAGUCAAAUAUUGCACCUUUUGUGACCUCUUGUUACCUGCUGCCCAACACACACACACACUCACUCAAAAAUCUUAAUAGAAUUUCCAUUUUGUGGAGAACAGGUGGAAAGGAAGGGAGUCAAGAAUGCUGCGUCAGCUUCCAGCCAUAGCCCUUUCCACCCUAUCUGCAGGUUCCUGGAAAGAAUGAUAGUGGGAAGCCCUGAUGCUGGGCCCUAAAUCUAACUCUGCUCAGAGGUUAGGCUCUGGAACAUCAUCCUGUUUCAUUUUAUACAGGUGUGCACACUCUUUACUGCAUUGUAUUUCUUUUGCCUCUAUUUCCAUAUUUAGCCUUUAGUUAGAGGUUCUGAGCAAAACUUCCAUUUCAUUUGCAGUCAUUCCAUUGUAAAGAAUUAGUGAAAAUAUACCAUUUAGCUAUAAAUAUUUGAGCUUUCGAAUUCACAUGAUUAAUAAAAGGAAGGUAAGUAAAUGUGCAAGAAAGUUAUUGUCCAGGCCCAGUGAACUAAGAAAACUCUGAAGGUAGAGGGCAAGAUGGAAAACUUCUAGAAUGUAGCCUCUUAUAAAAAAGGAUCUGCUAUAAUAAGAAAGAGUGUGUUAUUUUAUAUAUCUUUUUUUAAGAGUGUGUUUUUAUAUAGGUGAGCUGAGGUAUAUAUCUCAUUACAUUUAUGUGAAUAUUCUCUAUGAGAGCAUGUUCUAAACAUUUUUCAGGAUUUUCCCAUAUAGACUAAAAUCAGAGAACUUUGCUGCUGUUUAUGUGCAUGAAACUUUAAUUUGUUUUAUAAAUUUCUUGUGAGAAUAGGAAUAGCCUCCUUACUGACAUAAGGUCUCCAAGCCUCAAUCAAUUCAUAAGAAUGUUUCAGAGCCUACUCUAUGCCUGGCCCUGUAGUAAGUCUGUAGAUAUUUCUGUUUAAAUCAUAUCGUCUUUAAUUUAAUGAAUGGAAAGUUAUUGGAAGAUGUAAUGCACUGAAAAGGAAGUAAUAUCAGGUACGUGGUGUUCUUGUCCAAAACACAUAACCUGAAUCUACAUCAUACAACUCCAAAAUGGGGGGCACUCUAUUAAAAACUAGCCUAUGUUCUUCAAAAAUAUUAAUGUCAUGAAAGACAAAGUUAGGAAUGUUCCAGAUUAAAGAAGACGAAAGAGACAUGACAACAAUAUAUAAAGCAUGAUCCUCGAUUGGAUCCCGAAUUAGAGGGGGAAUAUAGGGCUGUAAAGGAUGUUAUUGGGAUAAUUGGCAAAAUUUGGGGAUUAGAUAGUAGUAUUGUAUUGAUGUAUUGAUGUUACAUUUCAUGUUUUGUAUUGAUGUUAAAUUUCAUGAUUUUGAUAACUGCACUGUACUUACAUUAAGAGAAUGCCAUUGAUCUCUGGAAAUAGCAGCUGAAGAAAAUAAGAGUAAAGGAGUAUGAUGUCUGCAACUUAUAGUUCAUUAUAAAACUAGUAAGUAUAUAUGCUUACUACACACACAUAUGUAAAUUAGAUAUCGUGCAAAUGUGGCAAAAUUUUAACAUUGGUAAAUCUGGGUAAAGGAUACAUGAUAGUUCUUGUACUAUUCUUUUUUUUUUUUUUUUCGAGACGGAGUUUCACUCUGUCACCCAGGCUGGAGGGCAGCAGUGAACCUCAGCCUCCCGGGCUCAAGCAAUUCUCCUACCUCAGCCUCUUGAGUAGCUGGGAUUACAGGCACCCACCACCAUGCCAACUAAUUUUUGUAUUUUUAGUAGAGACAGAGUUUUACCAUGUUGGUCAGGCUGGUCUCAAACUACUGACCUCGUGAUCCUCCUGCCUCAACCUCCCAAAGUGCUGGGAUUACAGGCAUAAGCCACCACUCCCGGCCCUCUUGUACUAUUUUUGUAACUCUUCUGUAUGUUUGAAAUUAUUUCAAAAUAAAAUUAAAUUUUAUAAAAUUGUUGGUACAUACACUAAACUUGUCCUGAAAUUAGUUGCCUUGUGAGAUUUUACUCUUGGCUAACACUUAAACAUUAUCUUGAGCAAGGCACUGAUGACUAGGUUGAGAUCAAAAAGUUUUACAACCAAGUUUUGCAAGAUUUAUUUCUACUUUGAAAAGAAAGCUGGAGACGGACAGUCGGGUGUGGGGAGUGGUCAUUAAAUCAAUUAUGUGUAAUGGGAACUCGGCCUCUACAUUUCCACUUCUUUAUUGCCACUCCUGGGAAAUCGGUCAGAGAAAAAAAUACGAGAUGCACAUGCAAACAUCUUCCCUGUGAUACUCACUUUCCAUAAAAAUCAGGCACAACCCUGUACCCUUGCCCACUGGAGUUUGUCACCCUCAGGGCUGGCAGGCCUCAGCACUCUCCUGGGCCAGGGCUCCCACGCCGUUUCCCACUGAGAGAGGCCCAAGCUGUGGCUCCUCCAGAAGCCUUUUGUGUCCCUCCAGAACUAUGCCGUCCAAUACAGUAGCCACUGGCACAUGUGGCUGCGAGCUCCUGCGAUGAGCUGGUCUGAACUGACAUGUGCUGUCAGUGCAAAACCCACACUGGGUUUCAAAGACUUUGCACAAAAAAAAAAAAUAAAAGAUCUCAAUAAUUUCAUAUAGUGAUUACAUAUUGAAAUUACGAUGUUUUAAAUAUAUUGAAUUGAAUAAAGUACAUUAUUUAAAUAAUUUCAACUGCUGCUUUUUACUUUUUGUUUAAUGUGGCUACCAGGAAAUUUCAUAUCAUUCACGUUUCACUUCCACUACAAAAUAG